CCUACGGGUGGCAGCAGUGGGGAAUAUUGGACAAUGGGCGAAAGCCUGAUGCAGCAACGCCGCGUGAGGGAAGAAGGCUUUCGGGUUGUAAACUUCUUUUCUCAGGGACGAAGAAAGUGACGGUACCCGAAGAAUCACCCACGGCCAACUACGUGCCAGCAGCCGCGGUAAUACGUAGGUGGCAAGCGUUAUCCGGAUUUAUUGGGUGUAAAGGGCGCGUAGGCGGGGGCGCAAGUCAGAAGUGAAACCUCAGGGCUCAACCCUGGGCCUGCAUUUGAAACUGUGUUUCUGGAGUGCUGGAGAGGCAAGCGGAAUUCCGGGUGUAGCGGUGAAAUGCGUAGAUAUACGGAGGAACACCAGUGGCGAAGGCGGAUUGCUGGACAGUAACUGACGCUGAGGCGCGAAAGCGUGGGGAGCAAACAGGAUUAGAUACCCUUGUAGUC
rnacentral:rRNA from 1 species